rnacentral:rRNA from 1 species
UACAGAGGUCUCAAGCGUUGUUCGGAUUCAUUGGGCGUAAAGGGUGCGUAGGCGGCGCGGUAAGUCGGGUGUGAAAUCUCGGGGCUUAACUCCGAAACUGCAUUCGAUACUGCCGUGCUUGAGGACUGGAGAGGAGACUGGAAUUUACGGUGUAGCGGUGAAAUGCGUAGAUAUCGUAAGGAAGACCAGUGGCGAAGGCGGGUCUCUGGACAGUUCCUGACGCUGAGGCACGAAGGUCAGGGGAGCGAACGGG